CUGGUCUCACUCCCAUUGUGCCACCCCCAACAGCACUGUCUAUUUCCAGGCAGUGGGUGAGCAGGGCUUAAGAACUUGUCCCAGGCUGCCCGCCUCCCAGCCGUGAGAUAAAAGGGCUCUGGUUCUUCCCCCACCUGUGGAGUCUGCAUGCUAGAUUUACACCCUCCCCUGAGUUCUGGCCAGGAGGCCUCUCACCUGGUUCAAAUUGUUACAACGUUCAGCUGGAGACCUCCUACUCCCUGUGGUUAUCUCCCCGCACCUCUGGCCACCCUCCCGAAAGGAUCCCUGUGGUGCCAGGCAGGAAUGGCCUGCCUGGGGACCCAGCAAGCUCCCAGGGCCCUUCCCACUGCCUCCUCCACCCCUGCAUUUCACUCAGCUCUCUAAGUUGACUCAGCUCCAGCCACCUUGUGAAGAAGUUAUUUGCUUCUCCUUUGUCUUCCGUCAUGAUUGUAAAUUUCCUGAGGCCUCCCUCUAGCCAUGCAG
rnacentral:lncRNA from 1 species